AUAACUUUAUCCUCGUGGCCAUGGGAUAAAUAAAAUACCCAGCAAAACCAAAGUUAGCACACCCUAGAAAAGUUCUAACAUGCUUACUAACCUAUGGCUUUGAUACCCGCUAUAUGGAAAAACUC
rnacentral:pre_miRNA from 1 species